rnacentral:lncRNA from 1 species
GGGUAGUUCAAUGAAGGUGUUAAUGGUGGUUGGCGUGAGAUGGGGUUAAAAUAAUUGGCAAAAGGAUCAAACAUGGAGGCAUUUUGUGUGUGAAAAUUAGCAGAAGAAAAAGAAUCAGCAGCAGCAGCACGUGAAUCGUACUCUUCAUCACCACCACCACUUGAUGACUGUAGACUUGCACUGUUGUUUCCAGAAUCCAUUUAAAAGAGGAUAACAGCUCAGAGAACAAAAGGAAUAACGAAAGAAGAAGAAACAACAAAGGACAGAGAUAUGGAGAGAGAGAAUUUUUUGUUGGUUUUAGUGCACAAAAGAUUUUGUUACUUACUGCAAAAAACCAAUUAAAGAAGAAGCCAAUCAGAUAUGUAUUUUCAGAAAAGUACCCUCCAAUAUGACUUCAAACCUCUGAUAAAACAUGAUGAUCUGCACAAAAGAAGAAGAAGAUGAUGAUGAUGCUACUAGUACAAUUACUCCUUUUUCCCAUGCUCUUUUUAAUUUGCCUCUGAGCCAGAACAAGUACUGUUACAAACGACACAAGAGAUGAGAUUAUCAUAAAGGUGAAAAAUAGAUGAGAUCAAUAAACCUCUGUUAUUUUUUUGCCUUCUAUAGGUACUGCGUGCUACAACUAGGGUUUUCAGCAGAGAGAAAUAAAGCAAAAAGAAAAAAAUGAGAGAAAGAAAGGGAGAAAUGAAGAAGAAGGUUUAAAC